rnacentral:rRNA from 1 species
GACGAACGCUGGCGGCGUGCUUAACACAUGCAAGUCGAACGGAAAGGCCCUGCUUUUGUUGCGUGCUCGAUUGGCGAGCAGGUGAGUGACACGUGAGUAACCUGCACUUAUCUGUGUGAUAACUUCAGGAAACUCCGGCUAAUACAGGAUAUAACCUCCUGAUGCAUGGGGUUGGUUAGAAAGUUGCGGCGUUUGUGGAUGGACUCGCGGCUUAUCAGCUGGUUGGUGGGUAGUGUAUUACGAAGGCUUUGAGGGGUAGCCAGCCGUAGAGGGCGACCGGCGACAAUGGGCCUGAGAUAGGGCGCAGACGCCUAUGGGAGGCAGCAGUGGGGAAUAUUGCGCAACGGGGGGAAGCGUGAUGUAGAAACGCCGCGUGCGGAAUACCGGCUUUCGGGUGGUAAACAGAUUUGGCAGGUGACGAGGCGUGAGUGACGGUAACUGGUAAAGAAGCACCGGCUAACUACGUG